rnacentral:rRNA from 1 species
GACGAAGGGGGCUAGCGUUGUUCGGAAUUACUGGGCGUAAAGGGCUCGUAGGCGGCCAACUAAGUCAGACGUGAAAUCCCUCAGCUUAACUGGGGAACUGCGUCUGAUACUGGAUGGCUUGGAUUCGGGAGAGGAAUGCGGAAUUCCAGGUGUAGCGGUGAAAUGCGUAGAUAUCUGGAGGAACACCGGUGGCGAAGGCGGCAUUCUGGACCGACAUUGACGCUGAGGAGCGAAAGCCAGGGGAGCAAACGGG